rnacentral:rRNA from 1 species
CGUGGCGGACGGGUGAGUAAUGUCUGGGAAACUGCCUGAUGGAGGGGGAUAACUACUGGAAACGGUAGCUAAUACCGCAUAACGUCGCAAGACCAAAGAGGGGGACCUUCGGGCCUCUUGCCAUCGGAUGUGCCCAGAUGGGAUUAGCUAGUAGGUGGGGUAACGGCUCACCUAGGCGACGAUCCCUAGCUGGUCUGAGAGGAUGACCAGCCACACUGGAACUGAGACACGGUCCAG